rnacentral:misc_RNA from 1 species
AAGUCGUAACAAGGUCUCCGUUGGUGAACCAGCGGAGGGAUCAUUACAGAGUUGCAAAACUCCCAACCCUUUGUGAACGAACCUACCAGUUGCCUCGGCGGCGAGCCCCCUGGGCGGACCGCCGGCGGAAUACAAACUCUUUGCAUUACAGUAUCUCUGAUUACUUAUUCAAUAAGUUAAAACUUUCAACAACGGAUCUCUUGGUUCUG